rnacentral:rRNA from 1 species
ACACUCCUACGGGAGUCAGCAGUGGGGAAUUUUGGACAAUGGGCGAAAGCCUGAUCCAGCAAUGCCGCGUGAGUGAAGAAGGCCUUCGGGUUGUAAAGCUCUUUUGUCAGGGAAGAAACGGUGAGAGCUAAUAUCUUUUGCUAAUGACGGUACCUGAAGAAUAAGCACCGGCUAACUACGUGCCAGCAGCCGCGGUAAUACGUAGGGUGCAAGCGUUAAUCGGAAUUACUGGGCGUAAAGCGUGCGCAGGCGGUUUUGUAAGUCUGAUGUGAAAUCCCCGGGCUCAACCUGGGAAUUGCAUUGGAGACUGCAAGGCUAGAAUCUGGCAGAGGGGGGUAGAAUUCCACGUGUAGCAGUGAAAUGCGUAGAUAUGUGGAGGAACACCGAUGGCGAAGGCAGCCCCCUGGGUCAAGAUUGACGCUCAUGCACGAAAGCGUGGGGAGCAAACAGGAUUAGAAACCCGGGUAGUCCC